CAUUUUCUGAACACCACAGUUUUCAAAAAAGCUAGCGAGUAGUAGUUUUGUUUUUUUAUAAAGACAGGGUCUCACUCUUACAAAGCCCAGCCCAAGCUAGAGUGCAGUGGUGUAAUCACAGCUCACUGCAGCCUCAACCUCCCGGGAUCAAGUGAUCCUCCCGAGCCUCAGUCUCCCAAGUAGCUGGGACUACAGGCGUCCACCACCAAGCCCAGCUAAUUUUUUUAUGUUUUGCAGAGACAAGGUCCCGCUAUGUUUCCCUGGCUGGUCUCAAACUCCUGGGCUCAAGUGAUCCUUCCACCUCGGCCUCCCAAAGUGCUGGGAUUAUAGGCAUGAGUCCCCAAGCCUGGCUGAUAGUAGCAGUUUCUGAAUCUUGUCUGGGGCCCAAAUCUGGCUGAAGAGAGACCCUCUGAUCCUCUCCCCCUUCACUCAGUGAAUGAGGUCACAAAGAGCCACCACCUGGAAGGCAGCUGUGAGGUCACCCACACCCAGUUUGGCAUCUCUGAGCUGUGUGCUGUUGCACCAUGGCGUCGACCAGCACUGAAGGCCUGGGAACAACCUCCCCA
rnacentral:lncRNA from 1 species